UCAACCUCCUGGAAUACUGGACCACCUGUUCUUCCCAACCGUCUCAAUUUACUCCGGGAUAUGGCGAGCUGCAGCUACCCGGUGGCAUCAGCAUACAGAGCUCAUGCAUAACGCAAUGUUGGUCGUUGCGGAGACCUUGCUGAAAAUGUUGAUUGAGCUUUCGAGGAUCAGAUAGCCUUGGAGAAGAAAAAAGAACUGAAGAGAGCUGUCUGCUAGAGGGCGCUGCUCAUCAAGAUCAAUGGGGUUCUCCUAAGGUGACGUCAGCUCAGAGGAUGCUUCCACAUAUUCCUCAAAAUU